GCCGAAAAGCCCACGGAAGCCUCCUUGUGAGCUUUGGUGCCAGGAAUGGACUCAGCAUAACUGGUAGGUCUCCACUGAGGAAGGACAGCUGUGGGGCCUUUGGCCCAGGCCUCAGGCUGGAGAGGACUCAGACUUUGGCUGGCAUUCAGUGUUAAGUUCAUACAGAGGAGCCAGCAAGUCUUGUCCCAAAGGUCAACAGUAGCUGAAAUCACUCACCUCACAAUAUUUGAUUGUGUCCAGCUGCUGGGAGGCUGUGGCUCCAACGGAAGAACCUCAAGUUGACCAGAGAGGUUCCUCUUCAUGGUCCUGCUGCUCGCAGUCUGCACACUAAGACAUUCUUCCAAGCCCUCCCACAGCACCUCACAAACUGUGGGGCCCUCAGCCCCCAAACCCUAGCGUGAGUCAGUGUUCCAGCUAUUUACGAGAGGCCAGGAGCUCAUUUCAAAGUUUCAAAUGAUCCUCGGUGACUGAUGGCCCCUGCUCUGCUCAAUAUCUUCACAGAGGCUGUACUUCUGUGCCUCAAGGGCUCUGCACUCCGGGAACAUUCAUCACGGUGCCUUGGCAAGGGGCUCCAAAAAAGUUAGGGAGCAACUGAUCUUUCCAGGCCCUGCUGGGGGGAGCGCCAGGGAGUCUCAGCCACAAGGUCUUGCCUUCUCCAAGCUGUCUCCAGAGCUGCCGGACACAUGGCGGAUACAGAUGCUAUCUGAUGGCCUGAGGUGGACAGAGGUGCAGUGCAUGCUGGAUAAACUGAACACAGUAUGCCCAUCCUUCCCGAAGAAGACCUUUUUUCCUUGGAAAGAAAAAUUCAGAAGUUGGGGGAGUGGGGAGAAUAUACACUGCUUUCACUCACUGGAGGAAUGCAGAAUUCUUUUACUGCUUAGGUAUCACUUGGGAAUGUGACAAUUGUUGGCAUUUCCUGCUUUGGAGUUUCACUGUCCAGUAUGGUAAACACAUGGCAAUUGAGCACUUAAGUUAUGUAAGUGUAAAACAUGCAAUGGAUUUCCAAAACUUGGUAUAAAAGAUAAUGUAAAAUAUCUUCUUAAUAGUUUCAUAUUGAACUGAUGUUAAUAUAUUGCAUUAAAUAAAACAUCAUUAAAAUCUAU
rnacentral:lncRNA from 1 species